rnacentral:rRNA from 1 species
CCUACGGGGGGCAGCAGUGGGGAAUAUUGCACAAUGGGGGAAACCCUGAUGCAGCGACGCCGCGUGAGUGAUGAAGUAUUUCGGUAUGUAAAGCUCUAUCAGCAGGGAAGAGAAUGACGGUACCUGAGUAAGAAGCCCCGGCUAACUACGUGCCAGCAGCCGCGGUAAUACGUAGGGGGCAAGCGUUAUCCGGAUUUACUGGGUGUAAAGGGAGCGUAGACGGCGAAGAAAGUCUGAAGUGAAAGCCCGCGGCUCAACCGCGGAACUGCUUUGGAAACUUUUUUGCUGGAGUACCGGAGAGGUAAGCGGAAUUCCUAGUGUAGCGGUGAAAUGCGUAGAUAUUACACAGAACACCGAUUGCGAAGGCAUCUCACGAAUCCGCGAUUGACGCUGAUGCACGAAAGCGUGGGUAUCAAACAGGAUUAGAUACCCCUGUAGUC